rnacentral:tRNA from 1 species
GCCUUCGUGCUAUACUGGUAAGCACGCUCGACGGGUAACCGAGAGGUCCGGGGUUCGAUUCCCGGCGAAGGCG